rnacentral:tRNA from 1 species
UUCCGAUUAGUCUAGUGGUUAGGAUAUCGGCUUGUCACCAAGAACUCUGGUUCUGAUAUUCGCCGGGGACCGGGGUUCAAUUCCCCGAUCGGAAG